rnacentral:lncRNA from 1 species
AAUUUUCUUGUCUGGGUGAUGAAAUAAUUGAAUUUCUGGGUUAUUAUUUUUUAUUUUAAAAUUUGCACUUUUAUGAUUAAAUCUAAAUCAUAAUCUAAAGAUUCUGCAUCCUGGAAAGAUGCUCCACAAAUGAUGAUUGUUUUACAAGUGGGUAUUUGUUAGAAUUAAUUGGUUGCUUUUUCAAGUUUUUGCUGUCUUAGUCACGGUUGUUCUAAAGAUUGUCAUCAAGAUGUUUGAGAAAAUGUCAAAAUGACUCAUUGCCAAAAACUUUUUUUUUUUUGGGGUCUUAUCGAUUAUCGGGGCUGUCUUGUCUGAUCUUUUUAUGUGGUUUCUCUGAUCUUACAAACAAUCUAAUGAGAAAGCUCCAAUAAUUUCAUAGAAAGAAAAAUUAUUAGAUGGGCAGAAAGAAAAAUGCUGAAGAAUGUAUUACUCCUUUCUCCAAAUGUUUUAUUCUAGUUCUGGGGAAGCUUUUGCUUUGCAUGGAAAAUAUUUCAAGGAAAUGUUUGAAAUGGCUCAGAAAUGAAGGGAGGCUGCAUUGACAGAAGCAUCCAAGUCCAAUGGGAUUCCAAGAAAGUUAGGUAACUCUUAUCCAUUUACAAAUGGGAAAUUUAUAUACAUCUCGGGUUAUUAGAAAAGUAGAUGUAGAAGGUGCUUAUGGGAUGUAUAGAGUCUCAUUAAAAAAUAUCUGAUGCCACGUCCCUUCAUGUGAAAACUUAGCAGUACUCAAACUUAAUUUUGUCAAUUGCAGAUACAAAAUAUCAUGUUUAUUACCACCAUUGUUAUUGUUUCACUCUUACUUCUGCAGUACUCUGCCAUUACAUAAUUUAAUGGCAACCCCCUUAUCGCAAUAUAAUGAUGUUACUAGACACCACACAACUAACUCAGAGGUAAUUUCUGAACAGUAAAACAACUGCAUUUUAUUAAGGAAAGCAGAAAGCUAUUGCAAGGCCACCAUGUGCUAUUGCAUUUCUACUUUGCAAAUUUACCUUUCUUUGCAUCAAUUAUUUCUUUCUUGACAGCUGCAAAUUUUUGGUGAUUUUGUAGACAACAAAAUAAUCACAAUAUACAUGAACCCAUGCUUAUUACUGCUUUUCUUUUAUUGUCUCCCAUCUCUCUCUCUCGUGCUCUUAACGUUACUGUGUUGUCAUUGUUUUGGCAUUAUUUAUGCAUGUG